AUUGCGUAUAAUAUACUCUUUCCGUGUUGUGGUAAGAAAGAAGUCUACUAACCAAGAAGAAUAUGAGCUAACAGAAUAUUAUCUAUUUUGUCGGCAAAAGUUCAGCUCUAUAGUCGCUAUUGAAUAUAAAUUCAACAAUUUGUUUAUAUUUGACGCAACAGGUUCUUCGGGAGUCUACAAGCUUGAAAACGCCAGUAGUUUUCGGAGGAUAAAUUUUAGCACCGACCAAGUGACUCAAAUAAAAAAUAAAAAAUUUUUUACGGAUCCAAAUAUAAAAUUGGUUUUGAAAAAUGAAGCUCCAUGCUUGGCUCUCGUGAGCACCCGAAUAAUUUUGUUUGCAAAAUUGUAAUUUGUUAUUAUUUUUAUCAAAAAUAAUAAAUUAUUUAAUGUUA